rnacentral:rRNA from 1 species
ACUGCUCAGUAACACGUGGAUAACAUGCCCUAAGGUGGGGGAUAAUCUCGGGAAACUGAGGAUAAUACCCCAUAGGUCUGAUCUGCUGGAAUGCUUUCAGGCCGAAAACUCCGGUGCCUUAGGAUUGGUCUGCGGUCUAUCAGGCUGUAGUGGGUGUAAUGGACCCACUAGCCCGUGACGGAUAUGGGCCUUGAGAGAGGGUGCCCAGAGAUGGACUCUGAGACAUGAGUCCAGGCCCUACGGGGCGCAGCAGUCGCGAAAACUUCGCAAUGGGGGAAACCCCGACGAGGGAAUUCCAAGUGCUAGCACUUUGUGUUAGCUGUUCUUCUGUCUAAAAAACAGGAGAAGUAAGGGGCGGGUAAGACGGGUGCCAGCCGCCGCGGUAAUACCCGCGCCCCGAGUGGUGGUCGAUAUUAUUGAGCCUAAAACGUCCGUAGCCGGUCUUCUAAAUCCUUGGGUAAAUCGGGCAGCUUAACUGUCCGAAUUCCGGGGAGACUGGGAGACUUGGGACCGGGAGAGGUCAGAGGUACUUCUGGGGUAGGGGUAAAAUCCUGUAAUCCUGGAAGGACCACCGGUGGCGAAGGCGUCUGACUAGAACGGAUCCGACGGUGAGGGACGAAGCCCUGGGGCGCAAACGGGAUUAGAUACCCCGGUAGUCCAGGGUGUAAACGCUGCGGGCUUGGUGUUGGGGGUCCUUAGUGGGCGCCCAGUGCCGGAGAGAAGUUGUUAAGCCUGCUGCUUGGGGAGUAUGUCCGCAAGGAUGAAACUUAAAGGAAUUGGCGGGGGAGCAC